rnacentral:rRNA from 1 species
UGGGUAACCUGCCUCAAAGAGGGGAAUAGCCUCCCGAAAGGGAGAUUAAUACCGCAUAAUAUGUUUUAGUCGCAUGACUUAAACAUCAAAGGAUUUUCUUUAGAAAUUCCACUUUGAGAUGGACCCGCGGCGCAUUAGCUAGUUGGUGAGGUAACGGCUCACCAAGGCAACGAUGCGUAGCCGACCUGAGUGGGUGAUCGGCCACAUUGGAACUGAGGCACGGUCCAGACU